CAUGUGUGUGUGGAUAUAACAUGUGAGCCCCUAUCAUCAUGGGAUUUCUACUGUAUUCUUUCUAGUAGCUAGUGUAUAUUGAAACAGAUACUCCAACUACCUUUAUGGCAAUUUUA